AGCUUAUAAAGAAAGAUGGAGGGAACUGACCCAAUGAUAUCUUAACAACCUGCUCGAUGCAAGGUGUUACAUUCAGCCUUUAAGGAAAGAUAAGCA
rnacentral:ncRNA from 2 species